rnacentral:rRNA from 1 species
GACGAUCCCUAGCUGGUCUGAGAGGAUGACCAGCCACACUGGAACUGAGACACGGUCCAGACUCCUACGGGAGGCAGCAGUGGGGAAUAUUGCACAAUGGGCGCAAGCCUGAUGCAGCCAUGCCGCGUGUAUGAAGAAGGCCUUCGGGUUGUAAAGUACUUUCAGCGGGGAGGAAGGGAGUAAAGUUAAUACCUUUGCUCAUUGACGUUACCCGCAGAAGAAGCACCGGCUAACUCCGUGCCAGCAGCCGCGGUAAUACGGAGGGUGCAAGCGUUAAUCGGAAUUACUGGGCGUAAAGCGCACGCAGGCGGUUUGUUAAGUCAGAUGUGAAAUCCCCGGGCUCAACCUGGGAACUGCAUCUGAUACUGGCAAGCUUGAGUCUCGUAGAGGGGGGUAGAAUUCCAGGUGUAGCGGUGAAAUGCGUAGAGAUCUGGAGGAAUACCGGUGGCGAAGGCGGCCCCCUGGACGAAGACUGAC